rnacentral:rRNA from 1 species
UUUUCUGAGAGUUUGAUUCUGGCUCAGAACGAACGCUGGUAGCGUGGAUUAGGCAUGCAAGUCGAACGGGAUCCGGGA